rnacentral:rRNA from 1 species
AGCGAACGCUGGCGGCAGGCCUAACACAUGCAAGUCGAACGAACCUUUCGGGGUUAGUGGCGGACGGGUGAGUAACACGUGGGAACGUGCCUUUAGGUUCGGAAUAACUCAGGGAAACUUGUGCUAAUACCGAAUGUGCCCUUCGGGGGAAAGAUUAAUCGCCUUUAGAGCGGCCCGCGUCUGAUUAGCUAGUUGGUUGAGGUAAUGGCUCACCAAGGCGACGAUCAGUAGCUGGUCUGAGAGGAUGAUCAGCCACAUAGGGACUGAGACACGGCCCAAACUCCUACGGGAGGCAGCAGUGGGGAAUCUUGCGCAAUGGGCGAAAGCCUGACGCAGCCAUGCCGCGUGAAUGAUGAAGGUCUUAGGAUUGUAAAAUUCUUUCACCGGGGACGAUAAUGACGGUACCCGGAGAAGAAGCCCCGGCUAACUUCGUG